AUAACAUUUACUAUAAUGGGAUCCAUGUCACUUAAGACAAUGUCUUGGAAAUGCUGUCAAUUAAUUUAUUCCGUAAAAGAAUAUCGGAGAGUAUCCAAUCUAUACACAUCAUAAACGGUGUAAAAAUGUUUCAUGGAAAAAACAGAAAGCAAACAAGCAAAGACAAAUACCAACGCCAUCACCACGGUGAUAACAGAUGAUGCUGAUUCAAUAUCUGCAACCACUUCUAUCCCAAUAUUUGGAAAGCUGGACUCUACAACCUAUACUAUACAACAAAUACCCGGGUAUUCUACAAACACAACCUCCAGC